rnacentral:misc_RNA from 1 species
CACAAACUAAGCUCCUUUGAACCCAUGGCUGCCAUCACUGCAGCACCAGCCUCCACCUUCGCCCGCGCCGUCUUGCCCAAGGGGCAGUCGGUCAUCACCUCCGCAUCUCCAAUUCUCGGGUUGCCGCAGUUGGGAGUGAGGGGUGGAAGAGUUCGGUGCUCAGCAGUACAGGAGAAGGCGGCUGGACAUGGCAAGGCAGCUGGGGCAGCAAUUCUGGCAGCGGCGACAAGCGUGAUGUCAAGCCCCGCACUGGCACUGGUGGACGAGAGGUUGUCCGGUGAGGGGACAGGGCUGCCCUUUGGUCUGAGCAACAACCUCCUCGGAUGGAUCCUGUUGGGAGUCUUUGGGAUCAUCUGGUCCUUCUACUUUGUGUACACCAACUCCCUUGAGGAGGAUGAGGAGUCUGGUCUUUCCCUCUAAGUAUGCAGAGAGGUAUAUUCAUCAUUUGUGUGU